rnacentral:lncRNA from 1 species
AUCAGAUAGAGUUUGGGCCUACCACAGUCAGCAUGCCAUGGAACAAGGACCUAUGGCUCACAGCCCACCUCUUCCAGAGCAUUGGGGAAACGUGUGCAUCUAGUUCUACUAGAUCAGUUGGAAAAGAAGAGUGGGACAGGGAAGCGACAGCAGCGAAGUCCUGUAUUGUGAUGAAAUGCUGACUUUGCAAGGUGGAACUGAGCUCCAGUGGCAGUACAGGUGCUGAAAAGAGGCCCCGUGAGACCCAACCUGUUGCUGGCAGCAGUGCGAUAAGGGACGGAGUCAGAAAAUGAUUCCAGUUGAUAUGCAGCCAUAGUCAAUGGUAGAGGAUGUUGGCUUCAAUACCCUAAUGGUAUAUCUACAACCAGACUGCAAGAUGCCAUGUCG